GGAGGAAACGGUCCUAUGGAUUGUAAAACCUCUUUUGCAGGGGAGCAAGGAGCGGUACGUGUGCCGCUUUGGAGAGUACCCUGAGAAAAAGCAUCGGCUAACUCCGUGCC
rnacentral:rRNA from 1 species